rnacentral:rRNA from 1 species
ACGGGAGGCAGCAGUGGGGAAUAUUGGGUAAUGGGCGAAAGCCUGACCCAGCAACGCCGCGUGAGUGAAGAAGGCUUUCGGGUUGUAAAGCUCUAUCCUUGGGGACGAAGGAAGUGACGGUACCCAAGAAGGAAGCCCCGGCUAACUACGUGCCAGCAGCCGCGGUAAUACGUAGGGGGCAAGCGUUAUCCGGAUUUACUGGGUGUAAAGGGAGCGUAGACGGCAAGGCAAGUCUGAUGUGAAAGCCCGGGGCUCAACCCCGGGACUGCAUUGGAAACUGUCAAGCUAGAGUGCAGGAGAGGUAAGUGGAAUUCCUAGUGUAGCGGUGAAAUGCGUAGAUAUUAGGAGGAACACCAGUGGCGAAGGCGGCUUACUGGACUGUAACUGACGUUGAGGCUCGAAAGCGUGGGGAGCAAACAGGAUUAGAUACCCUGGUA